rnacentral:rRNA from 1 species
GGAAUAUUGGACAAUGGGCGGAAGCCUGAUCCAGCAACGCCGCGUGAGGGAUGACUGCCUUCGGGUUGUAAACCUCUUUCAGCACAGACGAAGCGAAAGUGACGGUAUGUGCAGAAGAAGCACCGGCCAACUACGUGCCAGCAGCCGCGGUAAUACGUAGGGUGCGAGCGUUGUCCGGAAUUAUUGGGCGUAAAGGGCUCGUAGGCGGUUUGUCGCGUCGGGAGUGAAAACACACAGCUUAACUGUGUGCUUGCUUCCGAUACGGGCAGACUAGAGGUAUGCAGGGGAGAACGGAAUUCCUGGUGUAGCGGUGAAAUGCGCAGAUAUCAGGAGGAACACCGGUGGCGAAGGCGGUUCUCUGGGCAUUACCUGACGCUGAGGAGCGAAAGUGUGGGGAGCGAACA